CCUACGAGGGGCAGCAGUGAGGAAUAUUGGUCAAUGGACGAGAGUCUGAACCAGCCAAGUAGCGUGAAGGAUGACUGCUCUAUGGGUUGUAAACUUCUUUUAUAUGGGAAUAAAAUGUUCAACGUGUGGGAUUUUGUAUGUACCAUAUGAAUAAGGAUCGGCUAACUCCGUGCCAGCAGCCGCGGUAAUACGGAGGAUCCGAGCGUUAUCCGGAUUUAUUGGGUUUAAAGGGAGCGUAGGUGGAUUGUUAAGUCAGUUGUGAAAGUUUGCGGCUCAACCGUAAAAUUGCAGUUGAGACUGGCAGUCUUGAGUACAGUAGAGGUGGGCGGAAUUCGUGGUGUAGCGGUGAAAUGCUUAGAUAUCACGAAGAACUCCGAUUGCGAAGGCAGCAUACCGGCGCCCUACUGACGCUGAGGCACGAAAGCGUGGGUAUCAAACAGGAUUAGAUACCCGGGUAGUC
rnacentral:rRNA from 1 species